AGACGCUGAAACAGGAAAACAUGACCAAACAAGUUGUCUAGCACACCAGAUCAUUUUAUAAACACCUAAAAGAGGAUUAUAAGUGAACAAUUUAACGUGGAGCGUUUGCUUCGCUGCAUCAGAAUUUGCGGAUGUUGACAGAAGUGAAGAAUUUUGACCGAUUUCAAGUCUUCACCUCAAGCACAGGAGCCCUACACCAAACGAAUGCUGGAGAGGUAAUCCAGCAUGUUCCAGUGCCAAAUGAACAGGGAGGCCUGCA